CCCUUAGAUGUUCUGGGCCGCACGCGCGCUACAAUGAUGAAUUCAACGAGUUUAUAACCUUGGUUGAAAAGCCUGGGUAAUCUUUUGAACUUUCGUCGUGAUGGGGCUAGACCCUUGCAAUUAUUGGUCUCCAACGAGGAAUUCCAAGUAAACGCAAGUCAUCAGCUUGCAUUGAUUACGUCCCUGCCCUUUGUACACACCGCCCGUCGCACCUACCGAUUGAAUGGUCCGGUGAAAUCUUCGGAUUGAGACUUUGAUUUCUUCACGGAAAACGCUGUUUUAAAAAGUUGAUUAAACCUUACCAUUUAGAGGAAGGUGAAGUCGUAACA
rnacentral:rRNA from 1 species